rnacentral:lncRNA from 1 species
AUAUAAGAAGGCUUUUGAUAUUUUAAAUAAUUUUAUAUCUCAUUAAAUUAUCUUACUAUUUAAAAUAGUUUUUCAGUUCUAAAUCACAAUGAGAUACCACUUCACACCCAGUAGGAAGGCUGUAAUAAAAAAGACGACAAUACAAGCAUUGGCAAGGAUUGGAACCCUCAUUCAUUGCCAGUGGGGAUGUAAAAUGUGUGGCCUCUUUGGAAAACAGUUUGGCAAUUCCUCAAAAAAUUAAAUAUUAGAGUUACCAUAGGACCCAGCAAUUCCACUCCUAGGCAUAUCCCCAAGAGAACUAAAAACAUGUCCACACAAAAAUGUGUAUAGGAAUAUCCAUAACAACAUUAUUUUUGUUGCGGUGGUUGAGACAGGGUCUCGCUGUGUUGUCCACGCUGGAGUGCAGUGGAGUGCAGUGGCAUGAUCACAGCUCACUGCAGCCUCGACCUCCUGAGCUGAAGGGAGCCUCCCAUCUCAGCCUCCCAAGUAGCUGGGACUACAGGCGUGCACCACCAUGCUUGGCUAAUUUUUGUAUUUUUUGUAGAGAAUGGGUUUCACCGUGUUACCCCAGGCUGGUCUCGAACUUCUGGGCUCGAGUGAUUCGCCUGCCUCAACCUUCCAAAGUGCUGGGAUUACAGGUGUGAACCACCAUGCCCGGCUAGCAUUGUUUUUAAUAACCAGAAAGUAAAAAUAAUCCAAAUGUCCAUCAAAUGAUGAUUGGAUACACAAGAUCUGGUAUACCUAUUUGAUGAAAUAUUAUUCAGCAAAAAAAGGAAUGAAGUAGUGAUUCAUGUUACAAUAUUAAUAAGCCUUGAAAACAUGCUAAAUGAAAGAAGCCAAUCACAAAAGACCACAUAUUGUAUGAUUCCAUUUAUAUGAAAUGUCUAAAAUAGGCAAAUCCAUAGAGACAGAAAGUAAAUUAGCGGUUGCCAGGAAUUGGGAAUGGGGAGAAUGUGAAGUGACUGACUGCUAAUGGGUAUGGGGUUUCUUUCUGGGAUGAUGAAAAUGUUCUGGAAGUAGUGGUGAUAGUUGCACAACUGUGAAUAUACAAAAAUCCAUUGUAUUAUACACUUUUCAAAUGGGUGAAUUUUAUGAUAAGUGAGUUAUAUCUCAAUUUAAAAAAGGAAAAAUAGUUUUUCAGUUGACUAAGUUGUGUUAUCUAGAAAUAGCCUCAAAUUAUAAGUUUACUUUUUCCUUUCUAAUUUUUAUGCUUACUAUUAUUUUUCUUGUAAUAGCAUUAGCUAGUACAGUAAUCCAGAAAAUGUUAAAUAAUUUUUCAUGAUAAUGGUGAUAGUGGACUUCUUUGACUUGUUCCUGGUCAUUAUAGAAAUAGAAAUGCUUCUUCACUAAGCAUGAUGCUGGCUUUUGGGGUUGGUGUGGCAUGAGCACACACAUGUUUUAUCACAUUAAGAAAAUACCUAUCCCUAUUUCUUUAUAAUCUAUGGAGAUUUUUCUUUGAUCUCAUAUUGCGUGAUAUAUUAACAGAUUUUGUAAUAUUUAACUCAUUUUACAUUCUUGAAAUGAUCCUACCUGGUUGUGGUGUAUACUUAUUUUAAUAUUCUAACAUUUUACAAUUUUUGCAUAGUUAGAAAAAUUGACAUUUAUUUAUCAUAAAAUGAAUAGCAUGUACAGCAUUGUUUGUAAUGGCUCCCAAAUUGGAAAUAAUCUAGAUGUUCAUCAAUAAUAGUCUGUUUAAAGAAAGUGUGGUAGAGACAUAGAAUUAAAUACAACGCAGACAUUUUAAAAAUGAGAAAUAUCUAUAUAUAUUGCUAUAUCCAAGAAUAUCCAAGAUUAUGUGAAAAAAGAAGAUAUGCAGAUGAAUAUUUUAAAUGAGAUUCCAUUUGUGUUAAAUAAUGCCCAUAGUAACAGUAGAAAUUAUGUAUGUUUACUCCUAUCACUGUGCAUGCAUAGAUGAUUUCCCGAAAGAUAUUCAAACAAUUAACAGUGGUUACUUUAGGGUAAUGCUGGUUUGGGGGAAGCAGUGGUAUGAAGGGAGGGAGCAUUCCUUUUUACUGUAUACCUGUAUGUAAUGUUUCAGGUUUUUUCUUAAUAAGCCAUCUUACCUUUAUAAUAAAAAGUUAAUUUUUAAAAAGUU